GGCGAGAGCCGUAGCCGAUGGACAACAGGUUGAUAUUCCUGUACUGCAGUAUAACAGAACUGUGGGGACACGUAAGGAGAGCGGGAGCCGGGAAUGGAAAGCCCGGUACAAGCGAGGUACCAGUAUGGUAGGAAAAACCGCCAUGCAAUGGGAAGACGUGAUGUGGAGUGAAAUAUAGUAACGAAGCCCGUGAGCCAUGCGUCAAGAAAAGCCGCUAUUGUUUAUAUUGUACCCGUACCGUAAACCGACACAGGUGGAUGAGGAGAGAAUCCUAAGGCCGGCGGAAGAAGUAUUGCCAAGGAACUCGGCAAAAUGGCCCCGUAACUUAGGGAGAAGGGGUGCCUGCGAGAGCAGGCCGCAGAGAAUAGGCUCAAGCAACUGUUUAGCAAAAACACAGGUCUAUGCGAAACCGAAAGGUGAGGUAUAUGGGCUGACGCCUGCCCGGUGCUGGAAGGUUAAGAGGAGAGGUUAGACGCAAGUCGAAGCUUUGAAUUUAAGCCCCAGUAAACGGCGGCCGUAACGAUAACGGUCCUAAGGUAGCGAAAUUCCUUGUCGGGUAAGUUCCGACCCGCACGAAAGGCGUAAUGAUUUGAGCGCUGUCUCGGCAAUACAUCCGGUGAAAUUGAAGUGCCAGUGAAGAUGCUGGCUACCCGGGCCAGGACGGAAAGACCCCAUGGAGCUUUACUCCAGUUUGGCACUGGGGUCCGGUGUUGCAUGUACAGGAUAGGUGGGAGGCUGAGAGAUAGUGACGUCAGUUGCUAUGGAGCCGCUGUUGGGAUACCACCCUUGUGAUAUUGGGCUUCUAACCAGCCGCCGUAAUCCGGCGGUGGGACAAUGCCAGGCGGGGAGUUUGACUGGGGCGGUCGCCUCCGAAAGGGUAUCGGAGGGCCCAAAGGUUCCCUCAGAAUGGACGGAAACCAUUCGAAGAGUGCAAAGGCAGAAGGGAGCUUGACUGCGACACCGACGGGUGGAGCAGGUACGAAAGUAGGGCUUAGUGAUCCGGUGGUAUUAAGUGGGAAUGCCAUCGCUCAACGGAUAAAAGCUACCCUGGGAUAACAGGCUUAUCACUCCCAAGAGUUCACAUCGACGGAGUGGUUUGGCACCUCGAUGUCGGCUCAUCGCAUCCUGGGGCUGUAGUAGGUCCCAAGGGUUGGGCUGUUCGCCCAUUAAAGCGGUACGCGAGCUGGGUUCAGAACGUCGUGAGACAGUUCGGUCCCUAUCCGGCGUGGGCGUAGGAUAUCUGAGAGGAGCUGUCCUUAGUACGAGAGGACCGGGAUGGACGGACCGCUGGUGGACCGGUUGGCUUGCCAAAGCCAUGGCCGGGUAGCCAAGUCCGGAAGGGAUAAACGCUGAAGGCAUCUAAGCGUGAAGCCCCCCUCAAGAUGAGAUAUCCCAUUCUUUAAGAAGUAAACCCCCUUGAAGACGACGAGGUAGAUAGGGCAGAGGUGGAAGUGUGGUAACACAUGGAGCUGACUGUUACUAAUCGGGUGAGGGCUUGAUC
rnacentral:rRNA from 1 species